rnacentral:rRNA from 1 species
CGGUGGAGUAUGUGGUUAAUUCGAUGCAACGCGAAGAACUUACCUGGUCUUGACAUCCCGGAGACCCUUAGGAAACUAGGGGUGCUUCCAUCUGGAAGAAUCUGGAGACAGGUGCUGCAUGGCUGUCGUCAGCUCGUGUCGUGAGAUGUUGGGUUAAGUCCCGCAACGAGCGCAACCCUUGCCUUUAGUUGCCAGCAGUUCGGCUGGGCACUCUAAAGGGACUGCCGGUGUUAAACCGGAGGAAGGUGGGGAUGACGUCAAGUCCUCAUGGCCUUUAUGACCAGGGCUACACACGUACUACAAUGGCCGAUACAAAGGGCAGCGACACUGCGAGGUGAAGCCAAUCCCGUAAAAUCGGUCUCAGUCCGGAUUGGAGUCUGUAACUCGACUCCAUGAAGUUGGAAUCGCUAGUAAUCGUGGAUCAGCAUGCCACGGUGAAUACGUUCCCGGGCCUU